UGGGGAAUUUUGCACAAUGGGGGAAACCCUGAUGCAGCGACCCCGCGUGAUUUAGAAGGCCUUCGGGUUGUAAAAAUCUUUUUUAUGGGAAGAAAAUGACAGUACCAUAGGAAUAAGGACCGGCCAAUUACGUGCCAGCAGCCGCGGUAAUACGUAAGGUCCGAGCGUUGUCCGGAAUCAUUGGGCGUAAAGGGUACGUAGGCGGGUAAGCAAGUUAGAAGUGAAAUCCUAUAGCUCAACUAUAGUAAGCUUUUAAAACUGCUCAUCUUGAGGUAUGGAAGGGAAAGUGGAAUUCCUAGUGUAGCGGUGAAAUGCGCAGAUAUUAGGAGGAAUACCGGUGGCGAAGGCGACUUUCUGGCCAUAACCUGACGCUGAGGUACGGAAGCGUGGGUAACAAACAGG
rnacentral:rRNA from 1 species